AUGGACGCUCGCGGCGGAGACGCAUCGGCCAUUGCCCUGCUGCUGUGCGCUUGCUUUCUCACCGCCCUUGCAUGUGACAGCACAGAUGGUGCCAAGUUUGCGUACAGCGGUCCUCUUGGCCCCGAUCACUGGGGGGGAUUGGACCCCAACUUCACGCGCUGCGCCAUGGGGACGUACCAGUCUCCGGUUGAUAUCAAGACCAGCGACGUGGUUUACAACCCGAUGCUGGGGCCUCUUCACAGGGAAUACACCGCUGCGAAUGCUACCCUCGUAGACAACAUCUUCAACAUCGCGCUGCGAUGCGAGGAUGCUGCUGGGACGGUGCAGAUCGACGGGGUGAAGUACAAGCUGGACAAUAUCCAUUGGCACUCUCCUUCAGAGCACACCAUCAACGGCGAGAGGUUUGCGGUGGAGCAGCACAUGGUUCACUUCAGUGACGACGGCAACAUAUCCGUUGUGUCGAUCCUGUACCGGCUCGGCAGGCCAGACCCUUUCCUCAUGCAGCUGCAGGAUAAGCUAUCGGAGCUCUACGUGGAGGCCUGCAGGGCCGAGAAAGGUGCUCCGAUCCCCACCGGAGUAGUAAACAUGUGGCAGCUGCGGCGUUACGCCAACAUGUACUACCGGUACGUCGGGUCGCUGACCACGCCGCCGUGCACCGAGAACAUCAUCUGGAACAUCCACGGCAGGGUGAGGGAGAUGGCGUUGGGGCAGGCUGCCGCCCUGAUCGCGCCCCUGGAGGAAGGCUACCGGCGCAACAACAGGCCGACGCAGCCGCUCAACGGCCGCACCGUGCAGUUCUACCGCAGGUUCUGGAAGAAGAAGGGGAGCGGGAAGCCGUAA
rnacentral:rRNA from 1 species